GAACUCCAGCCUCAUCUGACCUCCAAAUGGACCCCAACUGCUCCUGUGCCGUUGGUGGCUCCUGCACCUGUGCCAGCUCCUGCAAAUGCAGAGUGCACAUGCACCUCCUGUAAGAAGAGUGAGCGCAGGACCAUCUCCAGGAAUAUGGGGGCUGGGCAGAGUCAAAGGAGGGAUCUCCACAGGUCAGAGCCAACCAAUGAUGAGCCUCCCACAUCUCCUUGCUUCAGCAAAUGACUUAGGAUCACAGCUGGAAGGACACUAGAGAUGGCUGCUGCUCCUGCUGCUCUGUGGGCUGUGCCAACUGUGCCCAGGGCUGGGUAUGCAAAGCGGUAUCAGAGAGGUCCAGCUGCUGUGCCUGAUAUCAGAUACAGAGAAUCCUAUUGGAUCUCAUCAAGCUCCUUGGGAAAGGACCACCAGUUCCUUGGAAGCAUGACUAUGGAGUGGAAGUUGGGAAUGUGUUUGAAGUCUUGCUGGUCUGGUCUUAAGGGUAUGUGGAUGACUUCCUGCACCAACUCCCCAGCAUAAGACACUGCUCCAGCAUCUGGACAGAGAACAAGCCUUUCCCACCCUUCAAGUCAUUUGAUCUUCACACAAACCAGAGAGACAGUAUGUGCAGAGGCUGGAUAUGUAGGGGAACACUGUCCUCUAGAGUAGUUAAGAACCUGCCCAAGGUCACACAACUCACAAGGUCAUCCAACUACAGGUUGGAUGAACUUAUGGUACAGCUGUCCUCAAACCCUCUCCAGAGCUGGCACAUCAUUGUGUAAGUGGAUGCUAAGCCCUUCCCAUCACAGUUCUUAGCUGGAAGUGCCUUUGGUGAGUUGGCCUAAUUGUGCCCUGACUGGAAAGAGGCAUACUGAUGCCCAGGAAGGUUAAGAGCUAUGAAGAGGGAUUGAUUGCCAGCUAUUACUCUUCCCUCUGCUGUCCUUGCGCCAGGUUUUCUGUGUCCUUGUGUUUUACAUGACAUAGGGUGCUGGUUGAGGCAAUGACGUUGCGUGAGUGCAAAUUUCAGCUGUGUCAUUUAUACGUGGGUAACACAACCACUCUGUGGUUCAGGCUCCUACCCUGUUCCAUGCAUAAUAACAGGAUCUGGCUGGUAGGACCACAUCAGUUAAUUCAUAUAAAGAACCUAAUACAGUGUUCAGUGUGUCUCAAGUAGUCUGUAAUAGCUAUGCUUUUAUUAUAUUUAUAGGAACAUUUUAGUACCUCCAGACAAAUAAGCCAGUCCUGAUAGGCUUAGCUGUGUGUCCCAUGUUGUUCCCAUCAAUAACAUGAGCAUAUGACAUAUGGAUCCGAGAGGGAACCCUACCCAUCCACAAAUAGGGAUCUACGCUGCAUAUAUAUAAAGCCAUAAGUAAGAUAGUCUGUGUCCGCAUAACAGAUGUGAAAGGAUUCUUGCCAUUUCUGCCAACACCUGCACUGUUAUUUUCCUUAACAUUUUCCUUUAAAGAAUCCUAUUUUUUAAAUGUAUUUACAGAAAAAGCAAACUCUCUGACACUACUGAAAAUAAGAAUCAGUCACCUUGCAGACAUGAAAGGUAGCCACACAGUUAUAUAUAUCCCUCUGUAUCACUUCUGUUGCUCUUGGGAUUGAAGUUGACAUUUGUUUUUGUUUAAAGAUUUCAAGCAGUGAAGAGGUGCUGAAGACAUAGCAAGGGCAAAGGGAAGUUUCAUCACUGACCUCUUUUCCUUGAAAAGCUGAGUGGUGGCUGGGUGCGGUGGCUCAAGCCUGUAAUCCCAACACUUUGGGAGGCCGAGGUGAGCAGAUCGCCAUGUCAAGAGAUCGAGACCAUCCUGGCCAACAUGGCGAAACCUCGUCUCUACUAAAAAUACAAAAAUUAGCUGGGCAUGGUGGCGUGCGCCUGUAAUCCCAGCUACUCGGGAGGCCGAGGCAGGAGAAUUGCUUGAACCCAGGAGGUGGAGGUUGCAGUGAGCCGAGAUUGUGCCACUGCACUCCAGCCUGGCGCCUGGCAACAGAGCAAGACUCUGUCUCAACAACAACAACAACAACAACAACAAAGCUGAGUGGCUUCAAACCUGCAGCACUGCUUUCACUCUCUGUCCUGGGCUAGCUACUUGUCUCCUUGUGUUGUCCUUGUCUGAUUAGUAAGACGCUGUCAUAAAGAGUAUUUUCCUUGAGGGUUGCUGUGAGGGUUGAAACAGCCAAAGUGAAUAAACAGGGUCUGGCUGAGUCUAAAAGCUCUGUAAUAGUUAAGAAUCCUGAAAGUAAUAACUACUUUUCAUGCUUCUUAAUUUAAUGCAAGGGUGAGCACAUCAGGAAAAAGAUCCCUCCCUUGGGAACAUUCCAAGUUUUGGGAAGCUCCAUCCUUGGGCCUGGUGGGCCAGCUAGGCUGUGGGAAGCCCCAAGAAGUUAUAGCAAAGGAGGAUGUGGACAAACGUGCCCAUCACCUUCCCAGGAGUGGGGAAUGGAAGGGAGGGAAGCAGGGCACUAUGUCUGCUCUGUUGCUGUGAAUAAGACAAACGUGGCCAAAGGAACUGGGUGGCAAUGCAGGUGAGGCAAAGGUCACAUGGGAGGCUGGUCCGCUGCACACAACUCCUUCGCUGCACUUCCCUAUCUAGAGAUGCAAGCACUAGGCUGGGGUUGCACAUGGACUCCAACAGAGGUGAGGCUCAGGUUACUGGUGCAGGGUGCUGGGCAGGGGACACCGCGACCACCUGUGGCUGGGUUGCCGGACCGCGCAGGGGCAGGAGUGGACCACAAUUUCUAAGAAAUUCGGGUGGGCUGGGAUUAUAGCAGGGACACCGCCUAAUGCCAGGCAUGCAGCCCCUUCAAAGCGAGUGGGAGCCAAAGGGCCGCCCGCAGGGUGCACACCAGCCUCGCUAGGGAGGAUCCUCCACUUGGCCCAUCUGCUGCGCACAGCUGGGCCCUGAACCCAGGGUUCCUCUGACACUGCUGGAGCCAGAGCCAGACCUUGGGUGGGACCUCUGCACCCAGCACCUCUCCCCAACUACAAAGCCAGCUCCCGCUGGCUUGCCUGCUUCUUCAGCUCUGGCAUAGGUGCUCCAGCCUCACCUGCUCUCCAGAUGGACCCCAACUGCUCCUGCGCCACUGGUAAAGUAUGCCAGGUUUCGGGGCCUUUAGGAUCCCUGAUUUUUAAUGGGGGAUUAAGAAAAUGCAGAAGGCAGGUGCAUUUUGAGCUCUACCUAAAGUGGAUUUUUUUUUUUUUUACUUUGUACUUCUGUUGCUUUUUUUCUUACCAGAAACCUUUAUUAUUAUCACUGAAAACCUUACCAUGGUCCCAGUGCCUCCCAUUUCCAAGGAGAGAGGAAUGAGGCUCAAAACUGCCCCUGCUCCAGGUCACCCAUAGGCCAGAGGUAUGCUGAGCUGGGAGCCAAUGCUCUGUCCAGCAUUUGAGCUGCCUGGGCAGGUAGGGAGGUGGGAGACAUUGCUUCUUCAAGAUUCCCCACUUAAGUCUCUGUGUCGUAUUAAAAAGGAGGGCACCUGCCCAUUUGAGCCUGUGGGGAGGGAAGCUGGGCUUCCCGUGCCUGGAUGGAACUAGGUAACAGGUUUCCCGUGCAGUGAGCAGGAUGCUGAGAGGCUGCUUCUAACCUUGCACCACACUCACUGCUCACUGCCUUUUUCUCUUCUCUGCAGGUGGCUCCUACACCUGCACCAGCUCCUGCAAAUGCAAAGAGUGCACCUGCACCUCCUACAGGAAGAGUGAGUUCGGGGCCUUCCCUGAGAAUCUGGGGGCUGAGCAGAGUCAGAGGAGGGAACCCAGAGCUUAGUGGGCAGGAGCGGGACAGUGACCAGCUUUCCACAUCUCCUUUCCUGGCAACUGAUUCAGGAUCACAGCUGGAAAAACAAGAUGGUUGAUUCCCAACUUUCAUUCUUAAAAUAGGGAAACUGAGGCCACACGAAUGCACCAGCCUGCCAAGCACAGACCUGAUACUUCAGGACUUUUCUCACUUAAGUCAAUGGUUCUGGGGAACUGGUUUUCCUUUGUCUCUGUCACCCCAGCCACUGCCUCUCCAGUCUUCUGUCCUCUCCUGGGUAUAGGUUGUGCUGGGCAGCUUUUCACUGGAAGACCCUCACUCCAAAGAUCCAGCUGAUUCCUCAUAGAGCAAUGCCACUGUAGACUAAGGGUCCUCUGGAGCUGGACAUAGGGCUUGAGCCAGGCCUCUGUUGGGGCAGAGAGGUCUUUAGUCAAGUCUGCUCUGACCUCUGACUCUCCCCUUCUUUCUCAGGCUGCUGUUCCUGCUGCCCUGUGGGCUGUGCCAACUGUGCCCAGGGCUGCAUCUGCAAAGAGGCAUCAGACAAGUGCAGCUGCUGUGCCUCAUGUCAGGGCAGCCCUGCUAUAGAUGUGGAAAGAGUUACCUAAACAAAUUUGGAAUUUUUUUCCAUACAACCAUGGCCUUACUAUAUUUGUCUCUCUUUUAUA
ensembl:lncRNA